rnacentral:rRNA from 1 species
GGAAAAAGAGGAGUGGCGAACGGGUGAGUAACACGUGGGUAACCUGCCCAUCAGAAGGGGAUAACACUUGGAAACAGGUGCUAAUACCGUAUAACAAUCAAAACCGCAUGGUUUUGAUUUGAAAGGCGCUUUCGGGUGUCGCUGAUGGAUGGACCCGCGGUGCAUUAGCUAGUUGGUGAGGUAACGGCUCACCAAGGCCACGAUGCAUAGCCGACCUGAGAGGGUGAUCGGCCACAUUGGGACUGAGACACGGCCCAAACUCCUACGGGAGGCAGCAGUAGGGAAUCUUCGGCAAUGGACGAAAGUCUGACCGAGCAACGCCGCGUGAGUGAAGAAGGUUUUCGGAUCGUAAAACUCUGUUGUUAGAGAAAAACAAGGAUGAGAGUAACUGUUCAUCCCUUGACGGUAUCUAACCAGAAAGCCACGGCUAACUACGUGCCAGCAGCCGCGGUAAUACGUAGGUGGCAAGCGUUGUCCGGAUUUAUUGGGCGUAAAGCGAGCGCAGGCGGUUUCUUAAGUCUGAUGUGAAAGCCCCCGGCUC